UAUGUACGACUGACUAAUGCAAGCGAUGU
rnacentral:sRNA from 1 species